rnacentral:rRNA from 1 species
CGACGGUGAGAGAUGAAAGCUGGGGGAGCAAACCGGAUUAGAUACCCGGGUAGUCCCAGCUGUAAACGAUGCAAACUAGGUGAUGCGUUGGCUUGUUGCUAGCGCAGUGCCUCAGGGAAGCCGUUAAGUUUGCCGCCUGGGAAGUACGUACGCAAGUAUGAAACUUAAAGGAAUUGGCGGGGGAGCACCACAAGGGGUGAAGCCUGCGGUUCAAUUGGAGUCAACGCCUGAAACCUUACCCGGAGAGACAGCAGAAUGAAGGUCAAGCUGAAGACUUUACCAGACAAGCUGAGAGGUGGUGCAUGGCCGUCGCCAGCUCGUGCCGUGAGAUGUCCUGUUAAGUCAGGUAACGAGCGAGAUCCCUGCCUCUAGUUGCCACUAUUACACCCUGGUGUAGUAGGGCGAAUUAGGGGGACCGCCGCAGUUAAUGCGGAGGAAGGAAGGGGCCACGGCAGGUCAGUAUGCCCCGAAACUCUGGGGCCACACGCGGGCUGCAAUGGUAGCGACAAUGAGUUCCAAAAUCGAAAGAUGGAGGUAAUCCCUAAACGCUACCACAGUUAUGAUUGAGGGCUGCAACUCGCCCUCAUGAAUAUGGAAUCNNUAGUAACCGCGUGUCAUUAUCGCGCAGUGAAUACGUCCCUGCUCCUUGCACACACCGCCCGU